UUACAUGUCUUGUCGUCAGCACAUGUCAUUGAGUCAUUGUCUGUGUGUGAAGUCUGAUGAAUAACAACUUUCAAACCAUCAGCCAUUCAGAUUUUCUUCAAUGGAAGACAGUAUAGAGCAAAUUUCAAAGAGGAUCAAAGAAAAAGAGGAAAUUUUACGAAAGCAGAAAAUGGUUAAAUUGCACAGAGCAAAGCACAAUACCACUGAACUUGAAAACUUGAUUAAAGAAUGGCUGGGAGUAUGCCAACAAACUCUUCAAGAUCUGGAACAGAAAUUGAAAGAUCAGUCGUCUGAUUCUGCAGAUUUCGGCAUUGCAAAAAUUCUUGCACAUUUGAACAUAGAGCCUGAGCUGGUUGGUUACAGUAUUGAAGACGAAAUGUUUACCAACUGAAGAUGUAUUCACUGUGUAUAUCCGUUUCAAGAGUUGUGUUCUGACAUCUUCAAAAUGCACUCGCUUCACAAUAGAUAGUACUACGUAAAAAAUGUCUACCGCCAAAGGAACAAACGACACGUGCAAAGUACAUCCUUGCGACUAGAUGUGCAUGUUUUCGAGUCUUGAAAGGACAGAGAUAAAUGUUCAUCCGAAUAUCUCUCCAAGCAGAACCUGCAGUCUAGCACGUAACGGGAUUAGUCUCAACAUUGAUCCCCCCUCUACCCUGUCACAAGUGAAUCCGAAAAACGUCCACCACCGAAACAACACACACGUGAGUCACCCGGAAUCAUAUUUUUUCUUCCCUGCGCGCUAACUAGUCUUCAUCACUGUGAAUCAACACACGCUCGUACGGGCUGUGAUGGAUGAGUCGAAACCUGAUCGAAAGCAAAUUGCUUCUUCUUCUUAUUGUAAUCGAGCCGUGUUAAAAAUGUCCCGCCUUCUUUUUUCUCUUCUCUGGGCUGAGCUUAGGUGAACCAUUUGGGUGGAUCAGUUUGCACAUGGAGAAACGAGGCGUGAUGAGUAGGAGGAGGGAAUCGAGCGAAGCUAAAAAUUCAUUUGUUGCUGGUUGACAGUUUUACGACCGGCUUCCACACCUACUUCAUUAGCGCUGCUCGACUCGGUUCCCUCCAACUCGUCUCACCAUCAAAACACAACAAACACGGAUCUCUAUAUAUCUGCCACGAGGAUAUUCUGAUGCCUUGAUCAACAUCUCGCCUAGCUAGUCUCUCUCUUCACCUUUUGGCGUAUUAUGACUAGCGACUGCGUCAGCUUCUACGGAUCCACCCAGUUAAAUGAUGAAUUAGAGAGAAAAACAGCAGUUGCCGGCUACUUGUUGUACGGUCGCAAAGUGGAGCUGAAAGCCGCCCAGGAAAAAAAGAAAGAAAGAACCUUAUGAUAUUACAUAUCUCUUUCACGAGCUUUUGACAGGAUAGCUCUCGCUCCACACUCCAUUGAAAACAACAGCAAAAAUCGCUCCUGUAUUUAUGUUGCUUUUCUCCGACGACAUUUUUCCCCCGUUGGAAGGUUCAAAAAAUUGAAGGAAAAAAAUAUUUUGAUUGUUUUUAUUAUUAUUUUCAUUUGCUGGCGCGCGGCAAUUUAUUGGCAUGGUGGUUGGAACGUCUUCUGGCUGGCUGGGAACGUGCCUUGCGUCGUGUCGUCCCGAGUUUAAAAAUAUCGCUCGUGUUUGACGGGUCAAAGAAAAAGAGAGGAAAUGGAAGGCAACAGCUGCCGAGCUGCGCGACAAGUUGCCGACCGAAGUGAAGGGAUCCUCGGCGGGACCCGAAACUCGCGAGGAUUAGACACGAAAAAAAACCUAUUUCCAGCUCUGUAUGUAGGCAACCGUAUAUAAUGUCCGUUGGGGCUUUCCAACUUGAUCCACUUGGACAAGUGGAAUGUCUUAAGUAAUAGUCGUUUCGUUAUAGCGUAAGCCAGCGGGGGCUGCCUACUUCUUCUUCUUUAAAUUUUACUGGUCCUGUGUAUGCGCAACGGAAAAGAAAAACAGGAAAAAAACGAAGGAUUUUUUUGGUUGUUGAGCGCGACAAAUUUGUGUAUUGAUAACAACAUAGCGGGUUCACCGUAAUCAUGGAGAAAAAAGUUCUAUUGUUUUAAGUAGGAUAAAUAUGUACAACAGUUUGAGGGGGUUAGUAAACAACUCGUGCGUUUCGAUCUAGAGAAUGAGUUUCAUUUUCAAAAUAUUUUCCAAUUGAUAAAUUUGUUUUCUUUUUCUUAGGAGAGAGAGAGAGAAUACUAUAUUUUAAUCAUCAGACUGUGCCGGUGUUGGUUGGAGCUGUGGUCGUGGUGCAAGUCGUGGCCAAACUCUCGACGAUGAAGCUGAGCCGGUCGAGACUGGACGAUCCUGGAGCGGAUCCUUGCCCUGUACCAGAUCCUUCAUUACCUGUUGGUGAUGCCAAAAAAAGAAAUUAGUUUGAUCAAUUUUUGUUUUGAAAAUUUUAAAAAAUUUGUGCUUGAAUAAACAUGAAUCAGAUUAUCCGACAAUGCCGCUUUUAAGAUCGACUGCUAUUGCCUAUUAAUUUUCGUUCGAAAAAUGUCCUCGUGAUAUACUGAAAUUUAAAGUUUAGAAAAUGUAUUAGGCAAAGCUAAAACCCUAUUUUAAAAUAAUAAUAAUAAUAGUUUGGAUUGCUUGUAUAAUUAGACGUUAUUCUUUCCUUACGAUAUUCAUUUCUAUCACCACGAGUUUAGAAGACUGCAUCUGCUAAGUAUUCUUUUUGCUUUUUCUUCAAAUUUAAGUUUAAGUUGUCUGUCUAACAAGUAACAAAGAAUGAAAGAUGAUUAAAUGAUUGCUAGUCUGUUGUAACAUUAACCAAUCUUGAGUAAGCUGAGAUUUUUAAUUAGUGGCAAUGGCAAAGCUCGAAAGCCACUCUUGACUGUGGUGACAUGGACAGCACUGUCGGUCUUACCCAAACAGGAUUAAUGGCUGAUGGGUUACACAUAAACCCUUUUGGCUGGUCCGAAAAAAAGACAAGACAUUUUGAAAAUCAGCAGAUGACUGCAAAGUGCUGGGCAAUAAUGUCCGAGCUGAAGGUCAGUUUUGAUUUUUGUCUUGUGUAUGGCACACACACACUGAACUUUUGCAGAAAACCAGACCUCGUCGCAGCGUGUGUUUUCCCUAUUCGAGGGAUCUCCUGUAGCUUUUGAGUGUUCCAAAAAGAAACAAAAAAGAAAGACUAUAUAGUUUCUUCGAUCACUCUUCAGCGGAAGUAACACACGUGGCUGGGGUCGUCUCCGAUUCCACCCUCUUACACCUCAUCUAUAGCUAUCCAGCAUGCACACUCCUUUUUCUUUCCCCUUUCCCAAUAGUAGCCAUUAAAAAAUCCUUGGCUUUCUCUCUCUCUCUCUGGAGUGCGAUGGGAAGUUGACCGACAGCUUUAUUUGAGAGUUCCUGUAUACUCCUCGGGAGAGUCGAGUAAUUCGACGACACAGACUUUUAAAAAAAUACACGUACGAGAGCUCUUUGGAAGAGGUAAUAAAGCUCGUCCUAGAAGGGGGAAAUCCGCUUUUACCGCAGAACAAACAGUUCGUAAAUGCAGCUCUGGAAAUGCGAAUUUUGGGCACGAUGUAAUAUUUUCUUUUGAAUAUUCGAUGGAUUGCGUCUGACGCCAUAAUAAUAUCGGCUCGAGACUAAAUAUCCAACGUCGUUUGACAGGAGCGUUUUCUUUUCUAAAAUUAGUCGCGAUGCCGUCGUCAAAUUCGCUGUUAAUGGCCUGUUAAACGGGUUUUUACUUAUUUCCUUUUUCAUUUAAUGGCCAGGAUAUGCAAGAUGACGUCAGUCUGCUCUUCUUCUUCUUUCAAAACUAACACUCUCAUUUUAAUUUGUCCCUCUAGGUGAUCCAGAUUCAUAAGCGAAAAGGAAGAGCUGGUGGUGAGCAAUCGAUACCCUCUCGUGGUGGUAGUAAAAAAGGAAAAAAGCCUGGAAGAAGAAUGACAUUUUUAAGACAAAUUAGUUGAGACGUGGGAGCGCCGCACAUUGGAGAUGGGAAGGCUCUUGGAGUGAUUCCUCCUCCCUUGGUGGGAGGGAUCAUAAACGACUUCAUUAGCCCUCACUGGAACUAGCGAAGCAAUCGAAACGGACUGUCUUAAUAUAAUGGACGUGAGGAGAGACGUGAAGAAGCGCCGUGUUUUGCCUGGGCAACUGCUGACGGCGUCGACGACGGACAAGCGCGAGAGAGGUGCUACUCCCCGAUAUUGGAAAACGUAGGAGGACAUUUUCUCUCGAUACUCGUCAACACGGCAGUCAAUCUGUUGUCUGCCCAACGUCCAAAUGGCCGUCGCGUCGACAAGUUGGUCAGACAUUCGCUGAACUGAUGAAGUCGAGUCUGGUAGUAGGCCACAACGUUCGUCAUCUGCACCAAUAGAAUAAAGAAGGGAUGGUGAAAUUGUAGCGUAACCGGAGAGUGGUGAGAGCCAUUCAUUUUAAAACAGAAAGAGCGAUGGCGGGGUAUAUGACUUACGUAGCCGUUGUUGUGAACCGAUAUGGGUUCGUUGUCUCCUCUAUUCUGGCCGGAAUCGCCGCUACCGCCCGAUGUGGAAGGAUCCCUCGAGGAUGACAGCAUGUCCUCCAGCGACUCGAUGUAUUCGAUGGCAUUGCGCAGAAUCUCCACUUUAGGCAGCCGCUGGCCCGGAUUGUUGCUAGUCCGACGCUUGAGCGAUUCAAAGGCUUCAUUGACCUACGUGCUUUACGCCGGUCGACGGUGACGUUCUUCUUUUUGCAAGCCUUGCAAGCCCAGAGCAGACAGCGACGUCCUUGGUGUCCGUCCAAAUGAUGUUGGGCGUUGUGAUCGGCCACCGUCGACGCCACAGACGAGCCAGACGAC